rnacentral:lncRNA from 1 species
ACAGAAAUGCACAGCCCUGGGGUUAGGACAGGGGAGGCAGUUCAGGCAGAGGGAACAGCAUGAACGAGCAGGCAGAGGACCUGCUGCCAUCCUCCUAGAAGGAAAUAUAUCACCAGGGGUCCAGCACAACAGGAAGCCCACUAGUAUUGCAAACAGAGGGAAUUUAAUCCAGGGGACUGGCUGCAUAGAUAUAGGUGGUACAAAAACUGACAAGGCAAAGCAGACAGCGAGCAGACCAGUGUGCAGGGUGUGUUUGGGAAGUGACUGGUAGCCUGGUAAUGGGGUGUGGGGUGUACAGCGGGGGGAGGGGUGUGUAGAGGAUGGCACAGGGCUGGAAGGCAGCUUGGGAGCAGAGUGGAAAGGCUGGUCCUACGGUGCAUGCUUGAUUUGCAAAGUUACAGAGCCUCGUCUAAAGCAUGGCCUGGUGGGCUUGAGCAGCCGUGGGAGGGUGGGCUGCUGGGCUGGCCUUGGUGGGAGGCUGCUGGGGUUGACCAGGGCAGGACUCGCCCAAGGCUGCUGCCAGAGAGGAGAGGUGGGGUGGGCUCAGAGACAUUCCCAAGGCUCAGUCUUCUGGCUCAGUGACGAAUUGAGUGGGGGGAGGGACGUCAACAAGUCUGAACACUCUGACCCGGUGCCAUCCUCCUAGAAGGAAGUGUAUCAGCCAGGGGCCCGGCCCAUCAGGAACCAUGCUAGUAUUUCCAACAGAGGGAGUUUAAUCCAGGGGACUGGUUGCAUCGGUGGUAUAAAAACUGAGAAGGCAAACGAGAUGGUGAGCAGCCCCGAGGUGAGCAAUGGGAGGACGGCGCUGCACCAUUUGGAGCAGGAGGGACAGAAAAGGGAAGCAGGUGGAGCCCGGAGGCCGGGAGCUGCCCACCAGGCAGAAGCCACAGCAGACCUGCGCAGUGGGAACUGGCGCCGGGGAGGCGCAAGCCCUGCUAGAGAUGCUUCCUAGAGCAGGGACCCAGGGGAGGAAAUGCCCCGGCGUCUCCCCUCCGCCCACCCUCUCCUCACCUGCUAUUGGCCAAACCUACCUGGAGCAAGGGACCUGGGGAGCGUAACCCUGAGAUACAAGCCAGCCCGAGAAGAAUGGGCAUGUGUGUGGGAGCAGCGGGCCGACAGGAGCACAGGAACACCAGAGGAAGCAGCUGCGGAGAAGAGACCGUGCGUCCUGAUCUGAAGAUGGGAAGCGAGAGGUCCCUCCAGGAAGGAAUGUCUAGUUUGCAGCAGCAUAGAGAGUAGGAUGGCUGGGGAGGUAGAUGUGGCAGGCGCGACUGUAGCUCUCUGUCUCAGGUUUUCUCAACCCAGGGAAAAGCUGAUUAAUGCCUGAGUCACUCUGUCCGCGAGCUGAGCCUCCUGGGUGGGGCAGGGCAAGGUGGUAUCGGGUGAUUCGGGGAUGUGCCAGCCUCAGGGAGGGGAGAGAGGAUAGUGUGCGGGAAACAGAGCUGGCCUGGAGAGGCUGUCACGCCCACAGCAUCACCCCAGUUCUGACGGCAAAGCUGUGUGACUUUGAGCAAGUGAAUGAUGCGCUCUGGGCUUCGAUUUCCUCGUCAUCACCAACCCCUGCCUCCAGCACAAGCUGCUCCACACCAGGCAACCGCCUGUAGUUGCCCAAACUCUGUGCUUCCUCAACACCCAGGCCUGCAGUAGACGCCACCCCCGACCUGGAAUCUCCUUCCCCAUUCCCACACGUCUUACUUUCUCCAGUCUUUCAGAUUCAGUCCUAGCAGACUCCCAGCACUUUGGGAGGCCGAGGCGGGCAGAUCACGAGGCCAAGAGAUUGAGACCAUCCUGGCCAACGUGGUGAAACCCUGUCUCUACUAAAAACUCAAAAAUUAGCCGGGCGUGGUGGCGCACGCCUGUAGUCCCAGCUGCUCAGGAGGCUGAGGCAGGAGAAUCGCUUGAAUCCAGGAGGCGGAGGUUACAGUGAGCCGAGAUCGCGCCACUGUACUCCAGCCUGGGGACAGAGUGAGAUUCCAUCUCAAAAAACAUAAA